AUUGAACGCUGGCGGCAGGCCUAACACAUGCAAGUCGAACGAGUGGCGGACGGGUGAGUAAUGUCUGGGAAACUGCCUGCUGGCGGGGGAUAACUACUGGAAACGGUAGCUAAUACCGCAUAACAUCAUAUGUUCCCAGAUGGGAUUAGCUUGUUGGUGGGGUAACGGCUCACCAAGGCGACGAUCCCUAGCUGGUCUGAGAGGAGGGCGAGCCAAACUGGAACUGGGACACGGUCCAGACUCCUACGGGAGGCAGCAGUGGGGAAUAUUGGACAAUGGGGGCAAGCCUGAGGCAGCAAUGCCGGGUGUAUGAAGAAGGCCUUCGGGUUGUAAAGUACGUUCAGCGGGGAGGCGUUACCCGCAGAAGAAGCACCGGCUAACUCCGUGCCAGCAGCCGCGGUAAUUC
rnacentral:rRNA from 1 species